rfam:Echinostoma caproni strain Egypt genome assembly, scaffold: ECPE_scaffold0016827
GGCCUCGUAACUCAGCUGGUAGGGCGUGCGCGUACAAAGCGUAGGCAGCGUCCAUGCGUGGGUUCGAAUCCCACCGAAGCUA